UCUCUGAGCUCAGAGCACACUUCAAGAGCUAAUAUUUCCCCUACCUGAGAACUUUAAAAAUGGUCUAAAAAUCCAUAGCCAGAUACUAUAUGUUGGUGCCUUGAUGUUGUUUUUAACUGAGAGAAGUUAGCAGCAAAAACCAUCUUCUUGUUUAUUACUGAAUGGAUUGUGGGAAUAUCCACCUUUGCCAGCUUCAUCAGAGAAGGGAUCAUACGUGAAAAGAGGCCAAAUCACUUCAAAACUUGGACCUAUUUCAAGUCAUCAGCAGCUUCAGAAUUUUUCUCCUGAGCCAAAGAAAACAAAAAUUGCAAUUAGAGGUUUCUCUAGCCUUGUUAAAGAAGAGCACAUGUAACAGUGAUCCAUAAACCCAGGAAGGCUCGCCUGGGUGAUCUGCUAUGCCAAAGAGCUUCAAUAACCAUAAUCCAUCAUGGGAAAAGGAGUAGCAGGCAAGAGGAUAUGUGGAGAACAAUCAUAUGGAUGGAAAACACCCUCAUUAUCAAAGGUGCAGCAAAAUGGUGGUAGAAGCUUGUUGAAAAUUCAGACACUUAGGGCUCAUCUUUGCGACCUCUAUUCACGAAAUCUCGGA